AUGCGCUUUGAAACUUUCAAAGAAGCAAAGGACUUCUACAACGUCUAUGCAAAGCAUGCGGGUUUUGCUGUCAGGGAAGGCUCCAAGGUUGAGACCAGAGUCUACCUUUAUUGCACGUGCUAUGGAGUCUAUGAAUCGAAGGUGUUAGAAGCAAAUAGACAGCGGAACAAGACGACAGCCAGGACUAACUGCGGGGCUAAAAUGAGGCUGAAGAGGGAAAAGGAUGGAACACUUGUCGUAAAAGAGGUAGUCUGGGAACACAAUCACAGGCUACAGCUCACCCCCCAAAUGCUUGUCUUCUUGCAGUCCCACAAAAACUUUGACAAAACAAUCUUGGAGUACGUCAAGUACCUGUAGUUCAAAGGCAUUGAACACGCGCAAAUCAUGAGCAUAUUGGGCGGCGAUGACCCCGGUAGCUACUUCCUUUAAAUGAAUGCCAAAGACCUGAUUAACCUCAAAGCAAAGAAUUCAAGGAUGGAUGAUGUGGAAGAUAUCCUAAAGACUAUCAACUUAUUUAGGGAGAUGAAAGCUACAAACAGGGAAUUCUUCUGUGACAUAUCAGCGAACGCAAGCUGCCGAGGGGCGUAUAAGGACUUCAGUGACUACGUAACGUUUGACACCACAUAUAAGACCAACAAGUACCAUAUGCCACUUGGGGUGUUUGUGGGUACUAACAACCACUUACAUACUACAUUCUUUGGUUUCGUCCUGAUAAGAUAUGAGGAUGCAAAUUUAUUCAGAUGGCUGUUCAAGACAUUUUUAAGGUGCAUGAGAGGGAAGGCUCCUAUAUGCAUCCUCACAGACCAGUGCCCGGCAAUGGCUUUGGCGAUCCCAGAUGCUUUCAAGAUCACAAUACACAAGCUGUGCCGCUAGCACAUUAUGAAGAAGUACAGGGAACACCUCGCAUACCUGUACAACCUGCACGAAGACUUUAAGGAUGAAUUCACAUCAAUCCUCAAUUGGCCCCUUAUGCCAACUGAGUUUGAGGCUGCCUGGAAAAGACUCAUGGAUAAGUACAACCUCCAUGAUGAUGCCAUGAUGGUGGGCAUGUGGAGCGAGCGUGAGAGAUGGAUAUCAGCCUACUUCAAAGAAAUUUUCUGCGCCAAAAUGACAUCCACACAAUGAAGUGAGAGCAUGUAUUAUGUGCUCAAGAAGAACUUCGUAAGUGAGAGACAAAACCUACACCGGUUUGUCAGCCAAGUACACUCCUGCAUCAAAAGCAGGAGGUAG
rnacentral:rRNA from 1 species